rnacentral:rRNA from 1 species
AAGAAUUUGAUACUAUUUAGUUUGAGUUAAACUCAAG